rnacentral:rRNA from 1 species
GAUGAACGCUGGCGGCGUGCCUAAUACAUGCAAGUCGAGCGAACAGACGAGGAGUUUGCUUCUCUGACGUUAGCGGCGGACGGGUGAGUAACACGUGGAUAACCGACCUAUAAGACUGGGAUAACUUCGGGAAACCGGAUCUAAUAUCGGAUAAUAUAUUGAACCGCAUGGUUCAAUAGUGAAAGACGGUUUUGCUGUCACUUAUAGAUGGAUCCAGGCCGCAUUAGCUAGUUGGUAAGGUAACGGCUUACCAAGGCAACGAUGCGUAGCCGACCUGAGAGGGUGAUCAGCCACACUGGAACUGAGACACGGUCCAGACUCCUACGGGAGGCAGCAGUAGGGAAUCUUCCGCAAUGGGCGAAAGCCUGACGGAGCAACGCCGCGUGAGUGAUGAAGGUCUUCGGAUCGUAAAACUCUGUUAUUAGGGAAGAACAAAUGUGUAAGUAACUAUGCACGUCUUGACGGUACCUAAUCAGAAAGCCACGGCUAACUACGUG